rnacentral:rRNA from 1 species
GACGAACGCUGGCGGCGUGCUUAACACAUGCAAGUCGAGCGAGAAAGCACCUUCGGGUGUGAGUACAGCGGCGAACGGGUGAGUAACACGUGGGCAACCUGCCCCAGAGACUGGGAUAACGUCCCGAAAGGGACGCUAAUACCGGAUGAUGCGCGAUCUGCCAAGUAGGUCGCGCCAAAUGGUAGCUUCGGCUUCUGCUCUGGGAUGGGCCCGCGCCGGAUUAGCUUGUUGGUGAGGUAACGGCUCACCAAGGCGACGAUCCGUAGCUGGUCUGAGAGGACGAUCAGCCACACUGGGACUGAGACACGGCCCAGACUCCUACGGGAGGCAGCAGUGGGGAAUCUUGCGCAAUGGGCGAAAGCCUGACGCAGCAACGCCGCGUGAGCGAAGACGGCCUUCGGGUUGUAAAGCUCUGUCAGGAGGGACGAAGCCACUCAGGUGAAUAGCCGAGAGGGUGACGGUACCUCCAGAGGAAGCCCCGGCUAACUACGUGCCAGCCGCCGCCGUAAGAC